rnacentral:rRNA from 1 species
AACGAACGCUGGCGGCAUGCCUAACACAUGCAAGUCGAACGAUGCCUUCGGGCAUAGUGGCGCACGGGUGCGUAACGCGUGGGAAUCUGCCCUUGGCUUCGGAAUAACAGUUAGAAAUGACUGCUAAUACCGGAUGAUGUCCCCCUGAGAGAUCUUGGGGACCAAAGAUUUAUCGGCCAGGGAUGAGCCCGCGUAGGAUUAGGUAGUUGGUGGGGUAAAGGCCUACCAAGCCGACGAUCCUUAGCUGGUCUGAGAGGAUGAUCAGCCACACUGGGACUGAGACACGGCCCAGACCCCUACGGGAGGCAGCAGUGGGGAAUAUUGGACAAUGGGGGGAACCCUGAUCCAGCAAUGCCGCGUGAGUGAUGAAGGCCUUAGGGUUGUAAAGCUCUUUUACCAGGGAUGAUAAUGACAGUACCUGGAGAAUAAGCUCCGGCUAACUCCGUG